CUGUUCUCAUACGUGGUGUUAUUGUCUGUAUUGGUGAAUAAUGACAGGUCCAUCAGGUGCUCUCCGUCGGAGGAAUAAAGGGGCCUUCCUGUUCUUCGUGGUCGAGGAAUAAGAUAUUGUCUGUAUUGGUGAAUAAUGACAGGUCCAUCAGGUGCUCUCCGUAAUAAAGGGGCCUUCCUGUUCUCAUACGUGGUGUUAUUGUCUGUAUUGGUGAAUAAUGACAGGUCCAUCAGGUCCCUCAUGACACACAUUUGAAACGUGGAAAUGUACAGUGUAAUUUGAAAGUAAGUUGUUACCCAGAGAUGACUGAUUAACUGGCAAAACACAUGCUAUUAAAAACAGUUGAAAUACUAAGCAUAACAUAAAGCCUCCUACAACAGCUAUUGUGGAUUGUAGAUCUGAAAACAUGAAAUCGGUUUACAUGCCAAACAGCUUGGUGCCCCUGAUAGUUGUGUCACUGAGACGCCACAAUCUUCACAAUAAAUCUAAAACACUUCUUUCAAUAGCUUCGAAUAAUUUGGCAUCUUGGAACUGAGGCGAGGAGGAAUGAGGGUGGGAGGACUAGAGUCAACAGAACUGAGGAGGGGAGGACUAGAGUCAACAGAACUGAGGAGGGGAGGACUAGAGUCAACAGAACUGAGGAGGGGAGGACUAGAGUCAACAGAACUGAGGAGGGAGGACUAGAGUCAACAGAACUGAGGAGG
ensembl:lncRNA